GGAGUCUAGCAUGCGCGCGAGUCAUCGGGAAGCACUAAACCCGUAGGCGCAGUGAAAGCGAAGGGCCGCCUCGCGCGGCCCGAGGGAGGAUGGGUCCGGCCGCGGCCGGGCUCCGCACUCCCGGGGCGUCUCGCGCUCAUCGCGAGCUGAGGCGCACCCAGAGCGUGCACGCUGGGACCCGAAAGAUGGUGAACUAUGCCUGGUCAGGACGAAGUCAGGGGAAACCCUGAUGGAGGUCCGUAGCGAUUCUGACGUGCAAAUCGAUCGUCGGAACUGGGUAUAGGGGCGAAAGACUAAUCGAACCAUCUAGUAGCUGGUUCCCUCCGAAGUUUCCCUCAGGAUAGCUGGCGCCCGCUCUCGGGCGGUCUCCUCCGGGGGGCCGCCCUCAGUUAGAGUCUCAUCCGGUAAAGCGAAUGAUUAGAGGCAUUGGGGUCGAAACGGCCUCAACCUAUUCUCAAACUUUAAAUGGGUGAGAUCUCCGGCCUGCUCGACAGACAUUAUUGUAGGUGAGGCCGCGAGAUCGGAUCAGGGUGCCAAGUGGGCCACUUUUGGUAAGCAGAACUGGCGCUGUGGGAUGAACCAAACGCAGAGUUAAAGCGCCAAAAUCGACGCUUAUGGGAUACCAUGAAAGGCGUUGGUAACUUAAGACAGCAGGACGGUGGCCAUGGAA
rnacentral:rRNA from 1 species